CUUCUCACGACAUAUAUCACUUCGUCGAUUAAAAGUCUCAUUCAAGCGGAUGCAGAUGGUUUCCCGACUUUUCUUUUCAGGAGAACUACGUAUGGCUUGAUUCCGUUUGGGUACGUAGGCAGCCCACUUUGGGUGCAGCCAUUCGAUUGAGCGGAAGCUUCUCCCGACGUAUAUCACUUCGUCGAUCUAGAGUCUCCUUCGAGCGGAUGCAGAUUGUUUCUCGACUUUCCUUUUCAGUCUGCAUCAGAAGAACUACGUAUGGCUUGAUCCCGUUUUGGGUACGUAGGCAGCCCAAUUGGGGUUCAACCAUUCGAUUGAACGGACACUUCUCUCGACAUAUAUCACUUGGUCGAUUAAAAGCCUCAUUCGAGCGGAUGCAGAUGGUUUCCCGACUUUCCAUUUCAGUCUGUAUCAGAAGAACUACGUAUGGCUUAAUCCCGUUUGGGUACGUAGGCAGCCCAAUUUGGGUUCAGCCAUUCGAUUGAACGGACGCUUCUUCCAGCAUAUAUCACUUCGUCGAUUAAAAGCCUCAUUCAAGCGGAUGCAGAUAGUUUCCCGACUUUCCAAUUCAGGUAGCAGGCUUCACCCUCUUAUUUGUUUUUUGUGUCACUUAGUGCUGAUAUUACUUACACUUGAUAGACUUAGUAUCGCUUGAUUGGUGUUGAUGACUCAUGCACGUUGCCUUUGGCCUUUGCUACUUAGACUAGCUUUACUUGUCUGGCCUGUUUUGUUUGACUUGGACUGUAUAGUCUGGAUCAGAAGAACUACGUAUGGCUUGAUCCCAUUUGGGUACGUAGGCAGCCCAACUUGGGUUCAGCCAUUCGAUUGAACGGACGCUUCUUCCAGCAUAUAUCACUUCGUCGAUCAAAAGUCUCAUUCGAGCGGAUGGUGAUGGUCACCCGACUUUCCAUUUCAGGUACCUGGCUUCACCCUCUUACUUGUUUUUUGUGACAUUUAGUGUUGAUAUUAGUUAGACUUGAUACACUUUGUAAAGCAUGUCUUUGGCCUUUGCUACUUAGACUAUCUUGGUUUGUUUGGUGUGUUUUGUUUGACUUGGACUGUAUAGCCUGUAUCAGAAGAACUACGUAUGGUUUGAUCCCGUUUGGGUACGUAGGCAGCCCACUUUGGGUGCAACCAUUCGAUAUAGCAGACGCUUUUCCUGAAAUAUAUCACUUCGUCGAUAUAACGUCUCAUUCGAGCGGAUGCAGAUGGUCUUCCGACUUUCUAUUUCAGGUAGCAGACUUCACCCUCUUACUUGUUUUUUGUGACACUUACUGUUGAUAUAACUUACACUUGAUAGACUUAGUAUUGCUUGGUUGGUGUUGAUACCUCAGGCAUAUUGCCAUUGGUCUUUGCUAUUUACACUACCUUUGAUUGUCUGGUCUGUUUUGUUUGACUUGGACUGUAUAGCCUGUAUCAGGAGAACUACGUAUGGCUUGAUCCCGUUUGGGUACGUAGGCAGCCCACUUUGGGUGCAGCCAUUCGAUUGAGCGGAUGCUUCUCACGACAUAUAUCACUUCGUCGAUUAAAAGUCUCAUUCAAGCGGAUGCAGAUGGUUUCCCGACUUUUCUUUUCAGGUAGCAGGCUUCACCCCCUUACUUGUUUUUGUGAAACUUUGUGUUGAUAUUACUUAGACUUGAUAGACUUAGUAUCGCUUGAUUGUGUUGAUGCCUCAGGCAUGUUGCAUUUGGUCUUUGCUACUUAAACUAGCUUGACUUGCCUAGUCUGUUUUGUUAGACUUGGAUUGUAUAGCCUGGAUCAGGAGAACUACGUAUGGCUUGAUCCCCUUUGGGUACGUAAGCAGCCCACUUUGGGUGCAGCCAUUCGAUUGAGCGGACGUUUCUCCCCUAAUAUAUCACUUCGUCGAUCAAAAGUCUCUUUCGAGCAUAUGGAGAUGGUCACCCGACUUUCCAUUUCAGCAUGUAUCAGGAGAACUACGUAUGGCUUGAUCCUGAUUCGGUACGUAGGCAGCCCACUUUGGGUGCAGCCAUUCGAUUAAGCGGAUGCUUCUCACGAUAUAUAUCACUUCGUCGAUUAAAAGUCUCAUUCAAGCGCAUUCAGAUAGUUUCCCGACUUUCCUUUUCAGGUAGCCCACUUUGGGUGCAGUCAUUCGAUUGAACGGACGCUUCUCCCGCCACAUAUCACUUCUUCGAUUGAAAGUCUCCUUCGAGCGGAUGCAGAUGGUUCCCCGACUUUCCUUUUCAGGUAGUAGGCUUCACCCUCGUACUUGUUUUUGUGACAAUUUGUGUUGAUAUUACUUUGACUUGAUAGACUUAGUAUCGCUUGAUUGGUGUUGAUGCCUCAGGCAUGUUGCAUUUGACCUUUGCUACUUAGACUAAGUUGACUUGUUUGGUGGUUUUGUUUGACUUUGAUUGUAUAGU